GGGAAUUUUCCGCAAUGGGCGAAAGCCUGACGGAGCAACGCCGCGUGAGGGAAGAAGGCCUCUGGGCUGUAAACCUCUUUUCUCAAGGAAGAAGAUCUGACGGUACUUGAGGAAUAAGCCACGGCUAAUUCCGUGCCAGCAGCCGCGGUAAUACGGGAGUGGCAAGCGUUAUCCGGAAUUAUUGGGCGUAAAGUGUCCGCAGGCGGCCUUUCAAGUCUGCUGUUAAAGCGUGGAGCUUAACUCCAUUAAGGCAGUGGAAACUGUUGGGCUUGAGUGUGGUAGGGGCAGAGGGAAUUCCCGGUGUAGCGGUGAAAUGCGUAGAUAUCGGGAAGAACACCAGUGGCGAAGGCGCUCUGCUGGGCCAUAACUGACGCUCAUGGACGAAAGCCAGGGGAGCGAAAGGGAUUAGAUACCCCUGUAGUC
rnacentral:rRNA from 1 species